AUACUUACCUGGCAGGGGAGAUACCCUGGUACCCUGGGCAUGCUGACUNUUGCAAUUUCUCCAAAUACGGGAAACUCAACUGCCUAAUUUGUGGUAAUGAGGAUCAGGACUUUGCUUUUUCCUCU
rnacentral:snRNA from 11 species